rnacentral:rRNA from 1 species
UACGUAGGGUGCAAGCGUUAAUCGGAAUUACUGGGCGUAAAGCGUGCGCAGGCGGCUAUGCAAGACAGAUGUGAAAUCCCCGGGCUCAACCUGGGAACUGCAUUUGUGACUGCAUGGCUAGAGUACGGCAGAGGGGGAUGGAAUUCCGCGUGUGGCAGUGAAAUGCGUAGAUAUGCGGAGGAACACCGAUGGCGAAGGCAAUCCCCUGGGCCUGUACUGACGCUCAUGCACGAAAGCGUGGGGAGCAAACAGG